CUUCCUCAUAAUGCUCAUUGUGUAAACCAUGUGUGGGAAGUGUGGGAGGAUAUAUAUUUAGUGUUAUCCUGACAUAAUUGCCCAAUUCUAAUGCCUGCUAAAGGAAGUUAAAAAAAUGCUGUGAGCUGAACAUGCUUUUGACAGUGAAUGAGAUGGUCCCCUGUUGAGUUUACUGUUGUGACAUAACCUCUGCCCACAUAAUUCCUACUUGACUGUAACUGCUACCUAUAAAUUCUCAUCAUCUCUAGUAUAACAUGUCAUGACUUGUUUAGAUUUUGAGGGAUGUAUGAAAUUUAUCUAUCAGGCAAAAAUUUAUACUGUCUUUAAGUUUGUUUUUCAAGAUUGAUUGAUAAAUGUUUGCAUUAUGUACAGUGGCAAUUAUUUCAUGCAUGUUCAGGACAAGAAUAGACUUACAAGAAAAAUAAGAGUUACAUGUAGGUCCUGCAAUAGGGGAUUCACCAGGAUGAUUAGCAGAGAAUUUAGAAUGCCACUGGAAAAUGAAAGUAUAUUCAAUAGGCAAACAAAUUUAACCUUGCAACUCCUCAAAAUUGUUGCAACUAUUCUCGGUGACAAUGAAUGUGCAGAGACUAGAUCUCUCUAUGAACAAGGCACCAUAUAUCAACAUUGUAACACCACAUGGUUGAUGAAUUAUACAUCCCAUACAGCCAAACAAAUGCCCAACUUUGACCACUUUUGACAAGAGUUUUACUGUAGGUCAGAAAAAGACUAAGAAAUAAAUAUAUUGUAUACACAAAACCCCACGGGUAAAGAAAAAAUAAAAUUAUUACACAUCUCCUUUAAUCCUCAAGAUCAAGAAAGACACAAAAAAAAAAGAGAGAAGAGGGGAUAUCAUGUAGAACUACAUGUAUUGGUUUUCUUAAUGAUAUUUUAGAAAAUGGAUUCAAAAAUUCUAAGGAAUCUUAGAAUUUAUACAUUUUU
rnacentral:lncRNA from 1 species